ensembl:lncRNA
AGAUCCCUGCCUACUUGAGACUUUCCAAAAGUCUUUUACUGGCGUCUUUGCAUCUGUCAUCUGAUUUAUCCACUGAAGUGUGUUUCUGCAGAAUGAGGCCCUGUAUAAGGAUAGUAUAAAAAAGAGGCCUGUGAGCAUGAUUUCCUCAAGUGCUGGGACAGCUGGACACUCUGAUGGUGGUAAGGAGAUCAGAUAGGUGCUAUUGGAGACAUGGGGUAGGGACGUCCUUCAGAGAUUCAGCACUGAAUGACCACCUAACUGUAGAACAGGUGUUGACUAUAUUUGCUGCUCCUAAAAGCUUUGGUGUCAGAGCAGAGUGCAAUCACUUACCAAGUCACAGAGCAAUCACGUGAAUGAUAGCACUGAUCCCUGGGAAUGAUUCCUGCCAACAUCAACUCAUUUCAGCGUGUAAUUAUGAUACAGCCGUAAUCUGGAGAGUUGCUGUGGGAAAUGGAUUGCUCCAUGGAUUUGUAAGACAC